UAAGACAGUUUAUUUAUUUUGCCGUAUAGGGUCACUUAAUGUUGGCUGAGACUCGAGAGUUGUGGCUUGUUGAUAUGAUUUCCUUGCCUCUGCCUGUACCUGAAAGAAAUCGCAGAGAAGGAGAAGUUGGUGAAAAAAGGGGUCAGGCAUGCUCACCUUCAGAGGCACUCAACAUCAGCUUGGACAGGCAUUGAGCACGCGCCCUGAUAUAUUGCCCAGCGCAUAUUGUCAAGAGCUCUCAAAGCUGCAGGUCAGGGAUUAGAGAUGGAGAUAAGGUUCUGGAAUCAAGGCAUCAAUAUAUGGCCAUUGAAAAGUUUUGAUCCUAAAAUGACAAUAGCCCAAUGAGAUUUUCUGUAAUUAACAGCACUAAAUUCGGAAUCUGAAAGCUAAGAACUUGUUGUACGGUGUACUAUAUUUUAUUCUUCUUUCUUUUAUCUAUUGAUGAUUUCAUUUCACUGUGUUUGCUGACAACAAUCU